rnacentral:rRNA from 1 species
AUUGAACGCUGGCGGCAUGCUUUACACAUGCAAGUCGAACGGCAGCGCGGGGCAACCUGGCGGCGAGUGGCGAACGGGUGAGUAAUAUAUCGGAACGUACCCAAGAGUGGGGGAUAACGUAGCGAAAGUUACGCUAAUACCGCAUACGAUCUAUGGAUGAAAGCAGGGGACCUUCGGGCCUUGUGCUCCUGGAGCGGCCGAUAUCUGAUUAGCUAGUUGGUGAGGUAAAGGCUCACCAAGGCAACGAUCAGUAGCUGGUCUGAGAGGACGACCAGCCACACUGGAACUGAGACACGGUCCAGACUCCUACGGGAGGCAGCAGUGGGGAAUUUUGGACAAUGGGCGCAAGCCUGAUCCAGCAAUGCCGCGUGAGUGAAGAAGGCCUUCGGGUUGUAAAGCUCUUUUGUCAGGGAAGAAACGGUUGGGGCUAAUAUCCCCGGCUAAUGACGGUACCUGAAGAAUAAGCACCGGCUAACUACGUGCCAGCAGCCGCCGCGG